AACGAACGCUGGCGGCAUGCCUUACACAUGCAAGUCGAACGGCAGCACGGACUUCGGUCUGGUGGCGAGUGGCGAACGGGUGAGUAACAUAUCGGAACAUACCCUAGAGUGGGGAUAACGUAGCGAAAGUUACGCUAAUACCGCAUACGAUCUAAGGAUGAAAGUGGGGGAUCUUCGGACCUCAUGCUCAUGGAGUGGCCGAUAUCUGAUUAGCUAGUUGGUGAGGUAAAGGCUCACCAAGGCGACGAUCAGUAGCUGGUUUGAGAGAACGACCAGCCACACUGGAACUGAGACACGGUCCAGACUCCUACGGGAGGCAGCAGUGGGGAAUUUUGGACAAUGGGCGCAAGCCUGAUCCAGCCAUGCCGCGUGAGUGAUGAAGGCCCUAGGGUUGUAAAGCUCUUUCACCGGUGAAGAUAAUGACGGUAACCGGAGAAGAAGCCCCGGCUAAACUUCGUGCCAGCAG
rnacentral:rRNA from 1 species